AUUGAACGCUGGCGGCAGGCCUAACACAUGCAAGUCGAACGAGUGGCGGACGGGUGAGUAAUGUCUGGGAAACUGCCUGAUGGAGGGGGAUAACUACUGGAAACGGUAGCUAAUACCGCAUACCAUCGGAUGUGCCCAGAUGGGUUUAGCUUGUAGGGUAGGUAACGGCUCACCUAGGCGCAGAUCCCUAGCUGGUCUGAGAGGAUGACCCGCCAAAUCGGACAUGAGACACGGUCCAGACUCCUACGGUAGGCAGGAGUGGGGAGUAUUGCAAGAUGGGCGCAAGCCUGAUGCAGCCAUGCCGCGUGUGUGUAGCAGGCCUUCUGGUUUUAAAGUACUUUCAGCGGGGAGGCGUUACCCGCAGAGGAAGCACCGGCUAACUCCGUGCCAGCAGCCGCGGUAAUUC
rnacentral:rRNA from 1 species